GCUUGUAAUAUUUAUAAAUCAAGUAAUUACGACUUUCUACACACAUUUUACGAUGUAUUUCACAAGGCUGGCAACGUGCAAGACCUUACCAUUUGGCAUAGGAUUUUAGGUCAUUUUUUCCGUUAUUUUAAAGAAGGGAAAACACAACUUGCUCCAUUAUUUCAAGAUAGCGCUGUUAUGCCUGAUUUCUCUCCUGAAAUGUUUUCUAUAGGAUACACCUUUUAAAAGAACUAUGUAUGGGCAGCCCGGGUGGCUCAGCGCUUUAGCGCCGCUUUCACCCCAGGGCGUGAUCCUGGAGUCCCAGGAUCCGAACCGAGCCUCACAUGGGGCUCCCUGCGUGGAGCCUGCUCCUCCCUCUGCCUGUGUCUCUGUAUCUCUCAUGAAUGAAUGAAUGAAUGAAUGAAUGAAUGAAUGAAUGAAUGAAUGAAUAAAUAAAUAAAACCUUAAAAACAAUAAAAAUAAAAGAACUAUGUAUAAAAACAUGAAAUUUAAAUUUAACAAAAUAAACAUACACUUACCUACCCCCUCCCCCAGGAGUAACGAGGAGGGGAGGCGGGGGGAAAGAAAAAAAAAAAAAACUAUAAUGAAACCUUGCCUACAGCUUCUGAAGAGAGCCAAGUCAAAGUUCAGUCAGUUCCCCCUUGAUGAGCUUAAUUCUAAACUGAGAGAAAACUUUUGCUGAAAUGUGUUCUCUGUUACCUGGAAGUUCGGGAUGUGAUCUACUGGCGACUCUGCCUUCCCUAGGUUCACCUUCUAGAGUUGGCUUAAGUCCACUGUGAACUAAUCCAAACACGGUGAGAAGCCACACCACCUCUCCCUGCCUUUCUCCAAGGCCUCAGCCCAAAGGCUAACGACAAGACACGGCUCGAGGCGGAAAGCUCGCCAGGGAUCAGCCUCACCGAGGCGCUGCCUGCCAUUUACUCGAGACCCACACGCUGCGUCUCUGACGUUCCGUGCGGUUUGAGGCUUGCAAUCCCCACAGUCAAAGAACAGGUGCUGCACCGGCAACAACCCGCUCGCUCUCGCAGGGCGAAUCCCCCUUCACUAAUAGGCAAGGACUCAUUUCACCUUCCCAAAGAAGUUUAGAUACUCAAAAGCCGCCAGCUCAUCGUUUGCACAGCAAUUGCGGGGCGGGGGCGGGGGCGGGGGCGGGGGCGGGGGCCGGGGGCCGGGGGGAGGGGGCAGUGCAGCGGCACACACGCCGUCAACUGCCCAGGCACUGGCCGCUCGCCGGGAGCGGGUCAUUGUGCCGGUCCGGUCCACUCCCGGCUCCUGGCCCGACAGCCCCUCACAGAAGCCCGCGACGCACGAGCAUCCUCCUGCCCACAGUCCGUGACUACAGACACCGAGUUGCAGGCGAAGGGGCAGCAGGAAUAUGGGCCUACUGUACAACCGAAAUAAUGUAA
rnacentral:lncRNA from 12 species